CUCCUUCUCGCUUCUGCUUCUUCCCUCUCCCCCACACCCCCAAACCUCUCGCGCUCGCUAAGGGUUUUCGGUACCCCCUUCCCCCACCCGCGCUUCCUCCUGCGACUCCUCCUUGCCCAUGGCCUCCGGAGCCCUAGAGGUCGCGGAGGCCGAAGGGGCGGCAGCUCCUCCCCCGUCGAGGGCAAGGAGGAGCUCCCCGAGAAAUCAGAGGUGGAGGAGGCAAAUCAAGAGGACCGAGAGAUCGCCGCUCCGGAGGAGGAGGAGGCCUCGGCUUCCAACGAGGAGGCCUCGGCCGAAGAUGACGACUGGGACGACGCCCCGAAAGAGAAGGAGAGCGAGGAGAAUCCGAAAGGAGGGAGCUCCGUGGAGAAACAGGGCGUGCCCAAGAGGAGGAGGAAAUCGAGCGCGGGGAAGAAAGAUCCGGUGACGCCCGGAAUCGAGCGGCCCACCAGAGAAAGGACAUCGGUGGAGUGGUAUUCCGCUCCUGCCCUCGUCAGGACGCCCUCCAGCAAGGGCUUCUCCAUCGAAAAGGGUCGUGGUAUACAGCUUAAGGACAUUCCCAAUGACUAUAAUUGGUUAUAGGUUUCCAGUUGGAUCCAAUUGUUAACAAGGCUGCUUUAUACUUGUGAUGUGUUCUUAUAAAAUCAGAGUUUUGAGGCUUUAAAUCAGCGUGCGGUUGCAGUAGUUGUGGAUCCCAUUUAGAGUGUCAAAGGGAAGGUGGUGAUUGAUGCCUUCCGUUUGAUCAACCCACAAACCAUGAUGCUUGGCCAAGAACCCAGGCAGACAACCUCCAACCUUGGACAUCUCAACAAACCGUUCAUCCAAGUGAGCAUUGAUCCAUGGGCUGAACAGACACUAUUACUCAAUUGCCAUCAAUUACAGAAAGAAUGAACUGGAGGAAAAAAUGCUACUUAAUCUUCACAAGAAGAAAUGGACAGAUGGCUUGACGCUUCGCCGUUUUGACACACAUUCUCAAACCAAUGAACAGACUGUUCAGGUAAAUCAAGGUCUUAAUCUGUCGCAUCUAGAUUAGAGAAUUAGUUGCACCAGUCACUUAGAGGUGGAUUCUGGACAACGCAAGACAAGGCCCUCUGCUCAAGCAUAUUUUCAUCUAGUGUCCAUGUUUUCCUAAUUAAUUAAGAUCAAUUAGCUUGCGAUGCAUAUAGACUUUCAUUGAACUGGAUGUUGAGAAGCUGUCGUUUCUUGCAAAACGAAUGAUUGUUUUCAAAUU